AUGAAGAGAACCAUUGCUGCCGUCCUGCUAGUGCUUUCCCUCGGGGCCCUCGUCGCUGCCAUCGCCGACGACCAUGUAGACACCAUUCGUCUUCCGAGCAACGGUCUUGCUGAUGAAGUAGCGACGGCGGCUACGGAGAAGAAGAGGCCGUGGAAGUGCUGCGACAGCCCGUUGUGCAGCAGGUCCAUCCCGCCGCGGUGCCGCUGCAUGGACGCGGUGGAGCAGUGCGACGAGGCCUGCACCCGGUGCGAGGCGUCCCAGUCCGACCCUUCCAAGCGGAUGUGCAACGACCGGUACCAUGGCUGGCCCGGGCCAAACUGCACCGAGCCCGACGCCGACGACAUCCCAAGUGGUACUGGUCCAGGAGUUUCUGGUCCGCCGGUCGUUGGUCAGGAAGCGACGGCGGUGAUGGCAACGGAGACGUCUGUUAGCGAGGAGAGCGCCGCCGUCGGCGAGGAGAAGCCGAGGCCAUGGAAAUGCUGUGACCACCCCCUGUGCACGAGGUCUUCCCCGCCUACCUGCUUCUGCCACGACAAGGUGAAGAAGUGCGCCAAGACCUGCAAGAAGUGCCUCAAGGACGAGUCGGGCUCUUCCCUCCGCGUGUGCGGCGACCGGUACUUCGGCUGGGCCGGGCCCAGGUGCCACGAGAUCUAG
rnacentral:rRNA from 1 species